UACGAAGGGACCUAGCGUAGUUCGGAAUUACUGGGCUUAAAGAGUUCGUAGGUGGUUGAAAAAGUUGGUGGUGAAAUCCCAGAGCUUAACUCUGGAACUGCCAUCAAAACUUUUCAGCUAGAGUAUGAUAGAGGAAAGCAGAAUUUCUAGUGUAGAGGUGAAAUUCGUAGAUAUUAGAAAGAAUACCAAUUGCGAAGGCAGCUUUCUGGAUCAUUACUGACACUGAGGAACGAAAGCAUGGGUAGCGAAGAGGAUUAGAUACCCUCGUAGUCCAUGCCGUAAACGAUGUGUGUUAGACGUUGGAAAUUUAUUUUCAGUGUCGCAGCGAAAGCGAUAAACACACCGCCUGGGGAGUACGACCGCAAGGUUAAAACUCAAAUGAAUUGACGGGGACCCGCACAAGUAGUGGAGCAUGUGGUUUAAUUCGAAGAUACGCGCAGAACCUUACCAACACUUGACAUGUUCGUCGCGACUCUAAGAGAUUAGAGUUUUCGGUUCGGCCGGACGAAACACAGGUGCUGCAUGGCUGUCGUCAGCUCGUGUCGUGAGAUGUUGGGUUAAGUCCCGCAACGAGCGCAACCCUCACUUUUAGUUGCCAUCAUUAAGUUGGGCACUCUGAAAGAACUGCCAGUGAUAAGCUGGAGGAAGGUGGGGAUGACGUCAAGUCCUCAUGGCCCUUACGUGUUGGGCUACACACGUGCUACAAUGGUAUCUACAACAGGAAGCAAAACUGCGAAGUUAAGCAAAUCCCUAAAAGAUACCUCAGUUCGGAUUGCACUCUGCAACUCGAGUGCAUGAAGCUGGAAUUACUAGUAAUCGUGGAUCAGCGUGCCACGGUGAAUGCGUUCCCGGGUCU
rnacentral:rRNA from 1 species